rnacentral:rRNA from 1 species
UACGUAGGGUGCAAGCGUUAAUCGGAAUUACUGGGCGUAAAGCGUGCGCAGGCGGUGAUGUAAGACAGGUGUGAAAUCCCCGGGCUUAACCUGGGAACUGCAUUUGUGACUGCAUCGCUGGAGUGCGGCAGAGGGGGAUGGAAUUCCGCGUGUAGCAGUGAAAUGCGUAGAUAUGCGGAGGAACACCGAUGGCGAAGGCAAUCCCCUGGGCCUGCACUGACGCUCAUGCACGAAAG